GACGAACGCCGGCGGGCGUGCUUAACACAUGCAAGUCGAACGAAGAGCGAUGGGAAGCUUGCUUCUAUCAAUCUUAGUGGCGAAACGGGUGAGUAACGCGUAAUCAACCUGCCCUUCAGAGGGGGACAACAGUUGGAAACGACUGCUAAUACCGCAUACGAUCUAAUCUCGGCAUCGAGGAUAGAUGAAAGGUGGCCUCUACAUGUAAGCUAUCACUGAAGGAGGGGAUUGCGUCUGAUUAGCUAGUUGGAGGGGUAACGGCCCACCAAGGCGAUGAUCAGUAGCCGGUCUGAGAGGAUGAACGGCCACAUUGGGACUGAGACACGGCCCAGACUCCUACGGGAGGCAGCAGUGGGGAAUCUUCCGCAAUGGGACGAAAGUCUGACGGGAGCAAACGCCCGCGUGAAGUGAAUGACGGGCCCUUUCGGGGUUGUAAAAGGCUUCUGUAAUUCGGGAACGAAAAGGCCUUUCCUG
rnacentral:rRNA from 1 species